rnacentral:rRNA from 1 species
UACGUAGGGGCCUAGCGUUGUCCGGAAUCAUUGGGCGUAAAGAGCUCGUAGGCGGUUCGGCAAGUCACGUGUGAAAUCUCCACGCUUAACGUGGAGGCGCCACGUGAAACUGCCGUGACUCGAGUCCGGUAGGGGAGUGUGGAAUUCCCGGUGUAGCGGUGAAAUGCGCAGAUAUCGGGAGGAACACCAGUAGCGAAGGCGGCACUCUGGGCCGGUACUGACGCUGAGGAGCGAAAGCGUGGGAGCGAACGAGG